AAGAGGAGCCUUUGAGAACCUACACGCAGGAGAAAUAGUAACACAGCAGUCAACUUGCCCUUGUGUCAAGGGCAGCUAAGACUGUGUUAGCAAAAAUAAGAAAGACUCUGCUGGGCCAAGUGCUAUGCCCUAGCUCCAUGCCUCCACUACCGAGCAACCCCCUGGCCGACAGCACUUCACUCCUGUCCGAGGGCUCACUGUAGCAUCGACAGGACAAUGGCCCUGGGCUGCUGGCAGGUUGCAGGCAGCCAUGCCUGCGCUGUUGCUGUGGUGAUCUACAACUGUGACAGCUUUGAGAGUGAUGGAUGGAGCAAAUGGAAAAUCAUGAGAAAUCAGAGGGCAGAGGCUGCAGCAGGGCAUCUGAGCCAUGUUCUUCAGCUGGCAAGAAGAAGAGAGUGAAGAGGACAUGCAGGAGCUUGACAGAAGCAGACUAAAAUGGAAGGGGAAAAUGAAACACAGAAGAAAGCUAGCAGAGACGCUGGUUUUAGGGUUACACAGGGAGUAGGGAUUUGGUAGACAGUUUGUUCUACUACAGACUUCACAAACAACUUUAGGCAACUCAUCACAUCAGUUUGAACACCAAUUUCUCUUCUGUAAAAAGUUUCUGUGAGAGAAACUGUUACAAAAUGUCCUGGGGAUUAUAAAUACGAAAUGGCAACCACCUUGUAAGUGAAAAAACCAGUCUGAACAACAUCCAGAUAAAAAAGAAGGCUUUCAACAGUCUCAGAAAAGUCAGAGUUCAUGGAAGAAAGCAAACAGAAAGAGACAGGAAAGGCGUUGAAUAUGUUUCUGCUUGUCUCAUGAUGAAUCUAUACACAGUGUAUGCAAUUGCUAUACUUUUAGGAAGCUCUUUUGGCUCAUCUGUUGGCAUCAGCGUUGCAGGGCUGUAUUCCCAAUUUGCAAAUGUGGUGUUAUCUCACAUCCCUCAGUACCAGGGAAGGAUAAGGGCUUUCUGCUGAAAUAGUAUUUUCAUUUCCCUGCUGUCAUUCUCUUCCUACUAAGUGUUUUCCAGUGAAUCAUUGUUUUGAACCUUGAGUUGUACUGGUGUGGCUGAAAGCAUAGACUUUAAUUUAGAUAAAGUGGAGACCUCUUGGAUAUGGAUGCUGUCAAAUCAAACUGAUUUGUGAUUAGGCAAAUAGAGCCCUGGAAACCUUUCAGUCACUGCAUGCUAUCACAGGAAGCCACAGAACGAAAUGUCUUUCAUUUGAGUGAAAUCUUUUUAAAGCAUCUGGCCUCUUUCCUUGCCUCUCCCAUUAGAGACUGUUCCUGAACCUAAUUGCUCAGAUGGCUAGAAGCUUUCUUUUAAUUUCUAGGGUAAAUUCCUUUAUGGUCAUUUUAUAGCCAGUUGUCCUUGGGAUGUCCUUCAGCUUUAAUAACUUCCUCUUCUGAUUUUUACACUCAGAUACAUUUAUAGAGAGGAAAUCCAGGCUCUCUCAUCCUUCAUUUUGCUGACUCUAAAAGCCAGUCUCUCUUAGUUUCUCCACAUAGGCUUGGAAUCUCCCUGGUCCUGCUAUCAUGUGCUCACUCUUCAACUGUUCCCAUUGGAUCUCGUAUUUUUGGGAAGUAGGCAACAAGGAUUGCAUGCCAUUUUUCAGAUGAGAUUUCUCCUGAGUCCUACAUACUACUAUUGACUUUUCCUCCUCUGUCUGGAUAUGUUGCAGGAUACUACUUGUCUUUACAACAUGUUGGGGCUCACAGUCACUCUGUGGUGACAGUGUAAUGUAUUAGUAAGUGCAAGCUUUUGUCCUUCUCUGGCACUUCCAGCUCUUGAGCCACAACAGUGUUGCUGUUACAGAUUCUGAUACAUUUCUGCAUAUUAAAGCUAAUGUACUAGGAAAGUUAGCUACUGAAUUCCAUUCUUCCAAACCGAUACUUUCCCUUUCUGUACAACCUGCAUUUGUCUCCCCAUCAGCCAGCUCUUUACCUACCUUCUAACUUUUCCAUAACUUCUAUUUUAGCUAUUAAUUACAAAUAUGUCACUUUGUCAAGUACUUUAUUGUAGUCUGGACAGAUAAGAUGUCUAUCAUUUCCCCGAUCCAAAAUAGUUGUCUUAUUAAAGAAAAAUAUAGAGUUAUUCUGGCAUGCUCUGCCUUUGACAAA